rnacentral:piRNA from 1 species
GGAUAUAUAGUUGCCACAACUGGUAUUC